rnacentral:rRNA from 1 species
UACAGAGGUGCCAAGCGUUAGGCGGAAUCACUGGGCUUAAAGCGCGUGUAGGCGGGUCGUUAAGUGUCUUGUGAAAUCCCACGGCUCAACCGUGGAACUGCUGGGCAUACUGACGAUCUUGAGGCACUCAGGGGCUGUCGGAACAAAUGGUGGAGCGGUGAAAUGCGUAGAUAUCAUUUGGAACGCCAACGGUGAAAACAGACAGCUGGGGGUGUCCUGACGCUGAGACGCGAAAGCCAGGGGAGCGAACAGG